GCAUGCACCUGCUACUGGAUGUAGAAGUGAAUUUCCUGAGUACAGUAAUUAUAUAUGCUCAAUUGAAGAAGUGGAUGCUGUUUGCAUGGAUGUUCCAGGAGUCAAAAUAUUCAGGCUUUCUGUUGAUGCGAUGUGCACCAUGUGGUUAAGGAUGCUCAUGGAAAAGGAGCUUGCUAAGAAAUUUAUUUUUUUGAAGGAUUAUUGGGAGG
rnacentral:misc_RNA from 1 species